rnacentral:lncRNA from 1 species
AUGGAGCUGGAGAGGAUCAAGGAUGUCUGCAGGGCUCAGCCUGCUCCGUUUCUCCUAUUUUCCAUUUUUGCCAUGGGAUAUACACCUGGGAUAAAACCCCCGGAGGCUGUGCGAGGCCAGGACGCCCUGCAAAGCGGAGCAGCCUCCAGGCAUCACCCAAUUCCCUUCUGCAGCCCUGGAGAGGGGCUGGUGACAGGGACAGGACCUGGACCCGGCAUUUUCAGCCCGGAUGGCAGCAAAACCAGCACCCAGAUGGGACGGGGCGGAUGCGCCCUGCGGUUCCCAGCAGCGUCCACCCUGCAGCCCCUGCCUGCAGCGGGUGCCCCUCCUCACAGCCUGGCCGAAGGAAGCCCCCGCGCCCCCAGCUAUCAGCAGCUCGAGGUCUUCCCAAAAGAUGUUUCACAAACUCUCCAAGCCCUCCAAAACCACCCCAUGUCCCUUUCUUUAGCCAAUUUGUCUUUUUGGCCACCCUACAGCCACCAACCCCUCGGUCUUUGGGAAGCGCCAGGCUUUGAGCUCGCCUCUUUUAGCUCUGAACCCCAGCGAGAUGGAGAUCUCCGCUCUUCCUUUCUGUCCUCCUACAGCUGCAAUCCCUGCAGCUGCAGAGGAAAAGCUGGAAGCGGGACGGAGCAGGGAUGGAAAGCUCCGAGAGCAGCGCCCCGAGCCCGUGCUGGCCGCGAGGCUCUCCGGCGUGGUUCUGCCUCCUCUCCGUGCCAGCACUGCUGGUUUGUGGGCUGCCGGGAUUCACCUUGCUGCUGCAAAACCAGCCUAAAAAUAGUGCGGAGAGGAAGUGCUGGGGGAGUCCCGCAGAUUAAAAGAGAAAAAGAAACAGGCUUGGAGGCAGAAAGGAAGGCAGGCGGUGGCACGAAGCAGUGGGAGGCAGCGGUCAGGGCACGGCACGGUGCAGCCCGGCGGGGUUUGGCACCUCCUUGCUCCAGCCCAGCCCCGCAGCCUCUGUGCUUUGGGCAAAAAAAGGUCUGUUCCUGGAGCAGAGUGAACAAAUUUGCCCGGUGUCCCCUGCUGUGCUGA